AUUGAACGCUGGCGGCAGGCCUAACACAUGCAAGUCGAACGAGCGGCGGACGGGUGAGUAAUGUAUGGGAAUCUGCCUGAUGGCGGGGGAUAACUACUGGAAACGGUAGCUAAUACCGCAUACCAUCAGAUGAACCCAUAUGGGAUUAGCUAGUAGGUAGGGUAACGGCUUACCAAGGCGACGAUCCCUAGCUGGUCUGAGAGGAUGAGCAGCCACACUGGAACUGAGACACGGCCCAGACUCCGACGUGAGGCAGCAGUGGGGAAUAUUGCACAAUGGGCGCAAGCCUGAUGCAGCCAUGCCGCGUGUAUGAAGAAGGCCUUCGGGUUGUAAAGUACUUUCAGUCGGGAGGCGUUACCCACAGAAGAAGCACCGGCUAACUCCGUGCCAGCAGCCGCGGUAAUAC
rnacentral:rRNA from 1 species